CCUACGGGUGGCAGCAGUAGGGAAUAUUGCUCAAUGGGGGAAACCCUGAAGCAGCAACGCCGCGUGGAGGAUGAAGGUUUUCGGAUUGUAAACUCCUUUUGUUAGAGAAGAUAAUGACGGUAUCUAACGAAUAAGCACCGGCUAACUCCGUGCCAGCAGCCGCGGUAAUACGGAGGGUGCAAGCGUUACUCGGAAUCACUGGGCGUAAAGGGCGCGUAGGCGGGAUAGCAAGUCAGAUGUGAAAUCCUAUGGCUUAACCAUAGAACUGCAUUUGAAACUGUUAGUCUAGAGUAUGUGAGAGGUAGGUGGAAUGCUUGGUGUAGGGGUAAAAUCCGUAGAGAUCAAGAGGAAUACUCAUUGCGAAGGCGACCUGCUAGAACAUAACUGACGCUGAUGCACGAAAGCGUGGGGAGCAAACAGGAUUAGAUACCCGGGUAGUC
rnacentral:rRNA from 1 species